CAUGUUUCUCUUUAACUGAACAAAAAAGGGGAUGAAGCCAAAAUGCAUUUACUAUUAAGUCCAGCAACCACAGCUUAUGUCGAAGAGCACAGCACUUGCGAUGCUCCUUCAUCUGGGAAGACACUCUAUUAAAAAUCUUCCUAUUGUGCUUUUGCAUUUCAUUCCUUCUUUUUCUUCCACCACGGUCACGAAAGCAUCAAGAGUCUCCGAAAUUUUGGAUAAAGGAUAUCGAAAGGAACAUUCACAGCCCAGAAAAGUGUCACUAAUCAUUAAAGCUGGAGAAACCAAGGCACAAGGAGAUGACAGAAUUUACCCAAGGUCAAUAGCUAUAAGUGGUGGAGACCAAAUUCAAUGCAAGGCAGUCAUACUCCAGAACCCAUGUAUUUCUGCAUGCCAUACUGUCUCCAGAAAGGAAAACCUGAAGCUUUUAUUUUAACAAUAAACCAAGAAGAAAUUCUUCAGUCUCUGUGCACUCUAUGACGGUCCCAAAAGUUGUUCCAAUAAAGAAAAGGAAAUAAACAUGAAACAAUGUAGAAGAUUCAGAUUGUAAUGAGUAGACAAGAAGUUAGUAUAUUGGGAUAUAAAUAAGUAACAUUAACAGUUUUU
rnacentral:lncRNA from 1 species